CCUACGGGUGGCAGCAGUGGGGAAUAUUGCACAAUGGGGGAAACGCUGAUGCAGCGACGCCGCGUGAGGGAUGGAGGACUUCGGGAUGGAAAGCUCUAUCAGCAGGGAAGAAAAUGACGGUACCUGACUAAGAAGCCCCGGCUAACUACGUGCCAGCAGCCGCGGUAAUACGGAGGGGGCAAGCGUUAUACGGAUUUACUGGGUGUAAAGGGAGCGUAGACGGGGGUGCAAGCCAGAUGGGAAAGCCCGGGGCUCAAACCCCGGACUGCAUUUGGAACUGUGCUGCUAGAGUGUCGGAGAGGCAGGCGGAAUGCCUGGUGUAGCGGUGAAAUGCGUAGAUAUUAGGAGGAACGCCGAUGGCGAAGGCAGCCUGCUGGACGAUGACUGACGUUGAGGCUCGAAAGCGUGGGGAGCGAACAGGAUUAGAUACCCCGGUAGUC
rnacentral:rRNA from 1 species